UACGUAGGGUGCAAGCGUUGUCCGGAAUUAUUGGGCGUAAAGAGCUCGUAGGCGGUCUGUCGCGUCGGCUGUGAAAACCCGGGGCUCAACCCCGGGCCUGCAGUCGAUACGGGCAGACUAGAGUGCGGUAGGGGAGCGUGGAAUUCCUGGUGUAGCGGUGAAAUGCGCAGAUAUCAGGAGGAACACCAGCGGCGAAGGCGGCGCUCUGGGCCGGAACUGACGCUGAGGAGCGAAAGCGUGGGUAGCAAACAGG
rnacentral:rRNA from 1 species